UACGGAGGGGGCUAGCGUUGUUCGGAAUUACUGGGCGUAAAGCGCACGUAGGCGGCUUUGUAAGUUAGAGGUGAAGGCCCGGAGCUCAACUCCGGAACUGCCUUCGAUACUGGCGAUCUUGAGUCCGGAAGAGGUGAGUGGAACUCCUAGUGUAGAGGUGGAAUUCGUAGAUAUUAGGAAGAACACCAGUGGCAAAGGCGGCUCACUGGUCCGGUACUGACGCUGAGGUGCGAAAGCGUGGGGAGCAAACAGG
rnacentral:rRNA from 1 species